AUCCAGCUGACGAGUCACACAUAGGACGAAAUACGCGUCCUGGUU
rnacentral:hammerhead_ribozyme from 1 species